AGGUCGGCUGUGGCUCAGCGGUUACUUCUUCAACCAAUCUUUACUCCCAAUGAAGCUUUCCCUAACGGGAUCGAUCCCCGCGGGCGCUACCUGACCUUUUA
rnacentral:vault_RNA from 1 species